rnacentral:rRNA from 1 species
CGCUGGCGGCAGGCCUAAAACAUGCAAGUUGAACGGUUGUAGCAAUACAACGAGUAGCGGACGGGUGAGUAAUGUAUGGGAACAUGUCCUUUAGUGGGGAAUAGCUUCUGGAAACGGGAGGUAAUACCGCAUAAGACCUGAGGGUGAAAGCAUUUAUGCGCUAAAGGGUUGGCCCAUAUCAGAUUAGCUAGUUGGUUAGGUAAAGGCUGACCAAGGCGACGAUCAGUAGCCGGCCUGAGAGGGUGAACGGCCACAUUGGGACUGAGACACGGCCCAAACUCCUACGGGAGGCAGCAGUGGGGAAUAUUGCACAAUGGGGGAAACCCUGAUGCAGCGACGCCGCGUGAGUGAAGAAGUAUUUCGGUAUGUAAAGCUCUAUCAGCAGGGAAGAAAAUGACGGUACCUGACUAAGAAGCCCCGGCUAACUACGUG